UUUAAAAAUGGUUCACUUUAAACAAGGGAAAAAAAAAAUAGGGAUGAACUGCAGGAAACCUGGAGAGUCAGCUCAGAGAAGCUGAGUCUAAUGGAAGAGGCAAUAAAGAGCUAUUGGCAGUUCUGACCAGAAAAAAAGGAUGUGGUGGGAAUGGAGUUUAUAGAACCAACACCUGGCCAUGAUGCUUGAAGGAUGAAUUAAUUAUGCUCUGAGUCAGAGCAAUAGAAUCGACAUCUUUACUUCCAUAGCUUUGCGCUCCUUUCUCACAUUCUCUCUCCACUUUCCUACAUGGGAGAAUUCCCUCUUUUCAACACACAACUCAGAAGCUGUUUUCUUCCAAGCCUUCACUGAACAACCAAGAGCCAGAAUUCUAUCUUCUGUGUUUUGCUUCUGCUGGUGGUGCUGCAACUUCCCGACUGUGUUCUGUCAGAUUCUAUGUUUCCAGAUGCUGUGCUAUGACGUGCCUCAUGCAGUCUUCAUCUUCAUUGACCUAAGACAUAACCCACCUGAAGGCUCAAGUCCACAGUAUCACAAUGAUCUCCACACCUUGUCCAGCACGUACUCCAAAUGACAUCAGCAACUGAUGCGCACAACUUAAUUUCUGAUUGGAGAAAGCAUCAUAUUUAUAUUCCACUAACUGCUCACAAAGUUCUUUGACUGAAACACAGACAUGGAAUUGUAACUUCAUCAUUUCGAAA